rnacentral:rRNA from 1 species
GACGAACGCUGGCGGCGUGCUUAACACAUGCAAGUCGAACGGAAAGGCCCUGCUUGCAGGGUACUCGAGUGGCGAACGGGUGAGUAACACGUGGGUGAUCUGCCCUGCACUUCGGGAUAAGCCUGGGAAACUGGGUCUAAUACCGGAUAGGAGCCAUUUUUAGUGUGAUGGUUGGAAAGUUUUUUCGGUGUAGGAUGAGCUCGUGGCCUAUCAGCUUGUUGGUGGGGUAAUGGCCUACCAAGGCGGCGACGGGUAGCCGGCCUGAGAGGGUGGACGGCCACAUUGGGACUGAGAUACGGCCCAGACUCCUACGGGAGGCAGCAGUGGGGAAGAUUGCACAAUGGGCGCAAGCCUGAUGCAGCGGCGCCGCGGGGGGGAUGACGGCCUUCGGGUUGUAAACUCCUUUCGCUAGGGACGAAGCUUUUUGUGACGGUACCUAGAUAAGAAGCACCGGCUAACUACGUG